CCUACGGGGGGCAGCAGUGGGGAAUAUUGGACAAUGGGCGCAAGCCUGAUCCAGCCAUGCCGCGUGAGUGACGAAGGCCUUAGGGUUGUAAAGCUCUUUUGGCGGGGACGAUAAUGACGGUACCCGCAGAAUAAGCCCCGGCUAACUUCGUGCCAGCAGCCGCGGUAAUACGAAGGGGGCUAGCGUUGUUCGGAAUCACUGGGCGUAAAGCGCACGUAGGCGGACUUUCAAGUCAGGGGUGAAAUCCCGGGGCUCAACCUCGGAACUGCCUUUGAUACUG
rnacentral:rRNA from 1 species